rnacentral:rRNA from 1 species
UCGCCCUCGGUGGUAGGGGGAGUACGCCGGGCUAACGCCCGGGUAAUACCGCAUACGUUCUUUCCGGGGAGUCCUGGGAAGGAGGGAAAAGCUCCGGCGCACGGGGAGGGGUUCGCGGCCUAUCAGCUAGUUGGCGGGGUAAUGGCCCACCAAGGCGACGACGGGUAGCUGGUCUGAGAGGAUGGCCAGCCACAUUGGGACUGAGAGACGGCCCAG